rnacentral:lncRNA from 1 species
CUCCCUUCCCCCUCUUUCUUCUUCCCUUGACUCCAGCCCCCGGUCGGCUGCCUAUCUCCCGAUGCCCCCUGGACAGCUGUGCAGAGCCCUGAGCGACCCCUUCGGCCCGGAGCCGUCGCCUCCCCACGCAGCCCGUCCCUCCUAAGCCAGCGCUGGGCUGAGCGUGGCCGCGCCGCUGUGGACCCCCCAGCCCCGCCGGGAAAACUCCCCUCGCUCCUCUCUCCCUGCUGCGACCGCCACCCUCAUUUCAUUUGAAUAGAAAACGGGAAAAGUUCCUUCUCGGUCACCCACAGCCUUCCCCUAACUAGGGGGCGUCAGCCUCCUCCAGCUGCGCCCGGAGCUGAAAUGGCGAUUUUAUUUCUGUCCUGUAUGGGGCCGGACCGAGGAUUACCCCGCCACAAGCUAUCUGCUGGAUUCAGCAGUUUCGUCCCCUCCCCGCUUGUGUGAAUUGCUACAGGGAGUGUGGGAAAGGCGGGAGGGGAAGGGGGCUGUGGGCAUCCUCUGGAUCUGCGGAGCAGGGAAGGGCUGCCUUGGCCGCCCCCAGUUCUCCUGGGCUCCUCCAUUGGGAAUGGGGUUGGCGGCUGGGGGAGGAGGCUCAGAUGCCGUGGUCCUGGCCCUGGGUGCAGGUCGCCUUUGGAAGCAAGUGUCAAAGCCAGCCGGAGCAUGUGCUAUUGUUUCGUUGGAAGUGAGUUCCAAGCCACCGCUUUCCAUCUGUUAAGUGUCUGGGUGCUGCUUAUUGAGAGAGUCUGGUGCACCCAGGCUCCUCCCUCCCCUUCGGGCCUGCUGGAGCCGGCCAGCCAGUGCCAGGGCCAGUGGUCACUUCCUCUCCCUCCCCUGGCCAGCCUGGUCUCCACCUGGUGGACGGUCACAGGCUUUACAGACACCCCCAGGGCCAUCUGGAGCUCUGGUGGCAGCUGGGGUCCUGGGGAAGGUGAGAGCUCCUUGCCUGUCCGUGGGGGUGGCAUCAUCCUGUGAGGAGCUGGACUGGACCCCUGUGUAGAUACUGGAUCGAUGAGGCCUCAGCAGCUGCCUAGAGAGGAACCCUUUCCUCUCCCAGAUCCCCAUGGAGCAGUGCGGUCUUCCAUUCGUCAACAAUCUCAUUACUGCGUGUUGGGUGCUGUUCUGGGCACUGGGAAUUCAGUAGUGAACAGAAUAAGCAGAGAUCCCUGGCCUGAAGAAGCUGGCAUUCUCUGGGGAAGACAGACACGAUGCCCUUCAAGGGGUUGCAUGAUCCCAUGCACACAGGGAGGCAUCUGCUCGCCACAGUCCACCACUGCAAACGCUGGUCUCAGCCAGAGGCACCUCACAGACUCCCCCAGAAACAGCGCAUCCCCAGCUAUUGGGCAUCCCGGGCUGGCCAGGUGGACACACAGACCUCACCAGUGCAGGUAGUGAGGAAUGGUUGACUCCGCAUCCAAGUUGGAGGUUGUGGGGUCUUCAUUUGUGCCUAUUUCCUAGGUGGGCAUUAUGCCUAUUCUCUGCCUUCCUUCCCCUGGCUCUGCCUGCAGUCAUGCUCGUUGGUCCUGAACAGCCUUGGUGGGGAAGGUUCCAGAAGUGGCGCCUGCUCUGUGCCCCCCACAUCAGCCCCAGGGUCUCCUGGUAUCCUAAACCUACAUCCCUGCUCCUGGCCCGGCUGUCGGGAAUGCAGCCAAUGUUCGUUCCUCAGAAUCAAGAUAAAAACGAAGGGAACCUCCUGCCUCUGCCAGGCAGGCCGCAGGCCAGGCUGGGGACC